ACACGGUAGGGGGCGAGCGUUGUUCGGAAUUACUGGGCGUAAAGGGCAUGUAGGCGGUUCUGUAAGCCUGACGUGAAAGGCUAUGGCUCAACCAUGGCACUGCGUUGGGAACUGCGGGACUUGAAUCAUGGAGAGGGAGCUGGAAUUCCAGGUGGUAGGGGUGAAAUCUGUAGAUAUCUGGAAGAACACCAGUGGCGAAGGCGAGCUCCUGGCCAAUGAUUGACGCUGAGGUGACGAAAGUGUGGGGAUC
rnacentral:rRNA from 1 species